AGUGAACGCUGGCGGUAGGCCUAACACAUGCAAGUCGAACGGCAGCACAGUAAGAGCUUGCUCUUACGGGUGGCGAGUGGCGGACGGGUGAGGAAUACAUCGGAAUCUACUUUUUCGUGGGGGAUAACGUAGGGAAACUUACGCUAAUACCGCAUACGACCUACGGGUGAAAGCAGGGGAUCUUCGGACCUUGCGCGAUUGAAUGAGCCGAUGUCGGAUUAGCUAGUUGGCGGGGUAAAGGCCCACCAAGGCGACGAUCCGUAGCUGGUCUGAGAGGAUGAUCAGCCACACGGGAACUGAGACACGGUACAGACUACUACGGGAGGCAGCAGUGGGGAAUAUUGGACAAUGGGCGCAAGCCUGAUCCAGCCAUACCGCGUGGGUGAAGAAGGCCUUCGGGUUGUAAAGCCCUUUUGUUGGGAAAGAAAAGCAGCAGGUUAAUACCCCGCUGUUCUGACGGUACCCAAAGAAUAAGCACCGGCUAACUUCGUG
rnacentral:rRNA from 1 species